rnacentral:misc_RNA from 1 species
AAGUCGUAACAAGGUUUCCGUAGGUGAACCUGCGGAAGGAUCAUUAUAAAAUUUUUCUUGCAUAUUUUUUUAAAAUGUGUAAAAAAAAAAUCUUGUAUUCAAAACCCACACUCUUUAAAACCAUAAUAAAAAAAUUUUUAUAUGUUUAUAUACAUGAAAUUUUUUUAUUUAAAAAUAACAUAUAUAAUAAAAAGACAACUUUCAACAACGGAUCUCUUGGCUCUC